CACGUAGGGGGCGAGCGUUGUCCGGAUUUAUUGGGCGUAAAGAGCUCGUAGGCGGCUCGGUAAGUCAGGUGUGAAACCUCCAGGCUCAACCUGGAGACGCCACCUGAUACUGCCGUGGCUAGAGUCCGGUAGAGGAGCGUAGAAUUCCUGGUGUAGCGGUGAAAUGCGCAGAUAUCAGGAGGAAUACCAGCGGCGAAGGCGGCGCUCUGGGCCGGUACUGACGCUGAGACGCGAAAGCGUGGGGAGCAAACAGG
rnacentral:rRNA from 1 species